GAUGAACGCUGGCGGCGUGCCUAACACAUGCAAGUCGAACGAAGCACCUUACCUGAUUCUUCGGAUGAAAGUUUGGUGACUGAGUGGCGGACGGGUGAGUAACGCGUGGGUAACCUGCCCUGUACAGGGGGAUAACAGCUGGAAACGGCUGCUAAUACCGCAUAAGCGCACGAGGAGACAUCUCCUUGUGUGAAAAACUCCGGUGGUACAGGAUGGGCCCGCGUCUGAUUAGCUGGUUGGCAGGGUAACGGCCUACCAAGGCAACGAUCAGUAGCCGGUCUGAGAGGAUGAACGGCCACAUUGGAACUGAGACACGGUCCAAACUCCUACGGGAGGCAGCAGUGGGAAAUAUUGCACAAUGGGGGAAACCCUGAUGCAGCAACGCCGCGUGAGUGAAGAAGUAUUUCGGUAUGUAAAGCUCUAUCAGCAGGGAAGAUAAUGACGGUACCUGACUAAGAAGCUCCGGCUAAAUACGUG
rnacentral:rRNA from 1 species